rnacentral:rRNA from 1 species
AACGACUCUCGGCAAYGGAUAUCUCGGCUCUCGCAUCGAUGAAGAACGUAGCGAAAUGCGAUACUUGGUGUGAAUUGCAGAAUCCCGUGAACCAUCGAGUCUUUGAACGCAAGUUGCGCCCGAAGCCAUUAGGCCCAGGGCACGUCUGGCUGGGUGUCACACAACG